GUUUGAGAGAUCCGGUUUCCCUGCAUCUAUUCAGGCAUCUGGUAUCGCUCCGAUUUCUUCCUGUAGCGGAGGCACAAGUGAGGCGCUCCUCCCACCAGCGCCUCUGCGUUUCCACUUGGAAAAUGGGAGGAUGGGGGGAUUAUUCACUUCGCGGUUAUACAACAAACCUUCCUCACUUCACGUCUUCCAUUAGCUGGAGAAGGGUAGUGUUUGCCAAAUAAGACAUGAGAUUGCCAAAAAUUUGUUAUAUGAAGUUCAAGUUUGAGUGUUUUGUAUUUUGUUUGCUAAGCCUUAGCAAUCCUAGAAAAACGCUGACCUCCCCGAACCUGGGAAGUCUGAUAGCACCACCUUCCAAAAGAGAUGAUUGGAUUAUUCCCACCAGCUGUAAGCUCCCAGGGAGCGACUACAUCUUCUUGUGCUUUUUCUUCCCCAAACAGAACAGAAUUAUCUCAAAUUCUAAAUUAGUUGUGUGGCUUCAUGAGGUUUUCUUUGAGAAAUGAAACUCCUUUCGGUAAAGGCCCUGGGCUCCCAGAGCCAGCACGGCUCCUGAAGGGAGACCCCGCAGUGCCUUUCCGGUGUGAUGCAGCCCUGGGCUGUGCCUCUGGCGCUGACCACGGGGCUUGGCCAGGCUGUCACUGUCUUCAGCACUGACCGGGAGAGCACGGCGCCACACCCCUGCAGACAGGAAAGGCAGCAUGCCUCCCUUCUACCCUCCCCCACAUCUGAGGACCAUCGCAGACCUGACGGUGCCCUCCUGUGCUGCAGGGUUGGGGCCCUGACGAAGGGCCCUCCAUCAGCUCUGGGUAACAAAAACCAAUUCUUGCCUGCUAAAGUUCCAAAAUUAAAGAAAACUCCAAAUACAGGGAUGAAGGAAAUAAUCUACAUCUUCCAAGGCUGUGGGGUACGAAGAAGUAUGUCGGAGUGAAACCCACGGAACUCUACACUGCAGAUCUGCGCAGGGCGCUAGAAAUUAACCAAACAGCAAUAAAAGAAACAUGAUAACAACA
rnacentral:lncRNA from 1 species